AUGCUUCUUAACCUGAAAAGCUGUAGUUCUACCACUUCUUUUCUUUUUCCUUUCCUUUGUUUUCAAGAGCUUCUGUGUUAGAAAAAGGAAGAGGAGUGGGAAUUAUGAGGUUCCAACUUGAGAUCAUCUUUACAUCUAUGAUAUUGCCAUUCUAGAAGGAACGGAGUGUAAAAGGUUUUUUUCAGAACUGACAGAGGAAAACAACAACAACCAACCAUGCUAUAUUGGGUUUUAGGAGGUUUCAUGCAAGAGGCUUGUUUGGAUUGUUGCUGUGUAUUCCUGGAGAAACCUCAUGUGCACAGCUGUGACCUUUGUCAGAUUUUGAGUUUCACAGGAAGUUACAGCAAAUGGAGUUGCUAUGCCAUCUCAGGAAAAACAUCUUGGUCUGCUACUACCUGCUGUUUUGGUAGUACCUACUGUUGUGCUGUUUUGCACACAUACCCUUGGGAC